rnacentral:rRNA from 1 species
GAUGAACGCUGGCGGCGUGCCUAAUACAUGCAAGUCGAACGAAACUUCUUUAUCACCGAGUGCUUGCACUCACCGAUAAAGAGUUGAGUGGCGAACGGGUGAGUAACACGUGGGCAACCUGCCCAAAAGAGGGGGAUAACACUUGGAAACAGGUGCUAAUACCGCAUAACCAUAGUUACCGCAUGGUAACUAUGUAAAAGGUGGCUAUACUACCGCUUUUGGAUGGGCCCGCGGCGCAUUAGCUAGUUGGUAGGGUAAAGGCUUACCAAGGCAAUGAUGCGUAGCCGAAUUGAGAGGUUGAUCGGCCACAUUGGGACUGAGACACGGCCCAAACUCCUACGGGAGGCAGCAGUAGGGAAUCUUCCACAAUGGGCGAAAGCCUGAUGGAGCAACGCCGCGUGAGUGAAGAAGGUCUUCGGAUCGUAAAACCCUGUUGUUAGAGAAGAAAGUGCGUGAGAGUAACUGUUCACGUUUCGACGGUAUCUAACCAGAAAGCCACGGCUAACUACGUG